UGCUAGACUCAUGAAAUCACAUUCUAAACCUUUCGGAGUCACUUAAGGUCGUUGCAUCUUCGAUUAACAUUAUGGACAUCAUACCAUCAAUAUGAACUUCACUAGGGUGCAAGGAUCAUACAUACUUUCUUAGAAUAGAUUUAUACGGAAAGAAAAACAUGGAAACCUUAGUUGCUAGGAGUAGAUAUGCUGUAAAAGAGCAUACCGUUUAUGUUUUUCUCAUCUUAGAUCAUGCCAAAGCAAAGAAAGAAAU
rnacentral:lncRNA from 1 species